ACAAAAGUGGUCGUAAAGGUCAGCUCUCCGUAGCUACAGAGGUGUUUGAAGUGGCGCCAUCGUUGCAUGUGGAGAGCUUAGGAAAACCGGCGGUGAUACCCUCGAGUUUCACAAGGUGUA